rnacentral:lncRNA from 1 species
UCAGUAACCCCACCAAGUCUCUCAAGUACAUCUUGACCAUAUUUUGCUCUGAUUCUCCUAAGUCAUUCCACUACAUGCGUAAGCCCAAAGGGAUCCUGUUUGUAAUAGCUCCAGAUGAAUUCCUACUCGUGCUCAUUCUGCACAUUUAUUAAGGCGAUUUAGACAAAAGCAAAACCUUUAUUGGAAUCAAAAAAAUAAAAAUUUCAUUUUUCCUUAAUUUUGAGAAAAGAAAAACUGAUUUCCCAAAUACGGCUUUUUAAUACAUCAGUGAUGAAGAUUUGAAGGUUAUAGGGUUAACCAGCAAAAAAUAAUAGCCAAAGGUGGCCAUUUAUGCAAAAUUAGCCUUCUGGCGUCCCUUUUGGAAACAUUCAACCAUUUUUGACAAACAACGACGCCUAAUCUAUUCAAGACUAUUUUCUAAGAUAUUUAAAGCAAAUGACCCGAUUUUGCAAACACGGACUUUCAACGUCUGGGGGACGAAGGUUUUCAGGCUGUGAUGCUAAAAAAAUCAAAUUUAUCAAAUUAUGCGAUGUCAGCCUUCUGACGUCCUUUUAGGGGACACUCGGCUAUUUUUGCAAUAAAUGGUAUUGCCUGACUCUUUUUAUGAAAACAAUAAAAUUUUGUCAUUUUCUGGUUACUUUUGUAAAAAUAGUAAGUUGGACCCGAUAAGAGUUGCCUACGUAUCUCUCAUCCGAUGAGAAUCAAAACGACGUAGUUCAGGUAAGAAAACUAAUUAAAACAAGACUCCAUUAUUUUAUUUUUUAUUGUUUUUCAAGUAAAAACAACCAAUUUUUCUUCUUUUUUUCAAAAAUAAAAAAUUUGGCAGAGUUUCGACAUUACUGGGACAUGAUUUUUCUAAAAACCGAAUAGUUAUCUUUUUGCUAUUUUCCUUUCUUAUGGAUUCCUGGUUUUACAAGCCGGUCAACAUGCAAGUUCGAAGCAAAAUAAAUGCGCAAAACAAACAAGAUGUAGCAGGAUGGUCCUUUUGUUUCAGGUUGCUAGUCCUAGACGGGCCCAACCCCUGUGUUGAGCCCCCUAAGUCAAAUGCAACGUGAUGUAAAUAAGAGUUUUAUACUAUGGAUCCGGCAUGAAGUUUUUUCAUUCUGUGUUUCAAACCUGAGCUUCGUUCUGGACCUGGCUAACCCGAGCACACAACUUAGGCGAGGAGGGGGCAACUUACCCAGGACACGCGGGAUCGUCCGGCUUCGUAACCUAUCCGAGCCUCUUUCUUAUUGGGUAACACUAAUAGAAUGGGGAAUCUCAAACAAGUGAGCAGCAUCCUCGGAGGUAAGAAGAGAAAUGGUUUGGAACAAUUUAUAUAUACAGUCAAACAAUAUCAAAGCGGUAACAAAACAUCAUUUUGCACAUUAAGCACAUAUCACAUGAAAAUAUCAGAUA